rnacentral:rRNA from 1 species
AGAGUUUGAUCAUGGCUCAGGACGAACGCUGGCGGUGUGCUUAACACAUGCAAGUCGAGCGUGAACCUCGGGGCUUGCCCUGAGGGGAAAGCGGCGAACGGGUGAGUAACACGUGGGCAACCUUCCCCAGUCUCUGGGAUAACCUCGGGAAACCGGGGCUAAUACCGGAUACUCUCGAUGGGUCGCAUGACCCGACGAGGAAAGCUCCGGCGGACUGGGAUGGGCCCGCGGCCUAUCAGCUUGUUGGCGGGGUAACGGCCCACCAAGGCAUCGACGGGUAGCUGGCGUGAGAGCGUGACCAGCCACACUGGGACUGAGACACGGCCCAGACUCCUACGGGAGGCAGCAGUGGGGAAUCUUGCGCAAUGGGCGAAAGCCUGACGCAGCGACACCGCGUGGGGGAAGAAGGCUCUCGGGUCGUAAACCCCUUUCGGCAGGGAAGAAGCGAAAGUGACGGUACCUGUAGAAGAAGCCCCGGCUAACUACGUGCCAGCAGCCGCGGUAACACGUAGGGGGCGAGCGUUGUCCGGAUUCAUUGGGCGUAAAGCGCGCGCAGGCGGCUCGGAAAGUCGGUUGUGAAAAUCCGGAGCUCAACUCCGGACGUGCGUCCGAAACUUCCGGGCUCGAGGCAGGUAGGGGAGAUCGGAAUUCCUGGUGUAGCGGUGAAAUGCGCAGAUAUCAGGAGGAACACCGGUGGCGAAGGCGGAUCUCUGGGCCUGUCCUGACGCUGAGGCGCGAAAGCUAGGGGAGCGAACAGGAUUAGAUACCCUAGUAGUCC